AGCGAACGCUGGCGGCAGGCCUAACACAUGCAAGUCGAACGAACCUUUCGGGGUUAGUGGCGGACGGGUGAGUAACACGUGGGAACGUGCCUUUAUGUUCGGAAUAACUCAGGGAAACUUGUGCUAAUACCGAAUGUGCCCUUCGGGGGAAAGAUUAAUCGCCUUUAGAGCGGCCCGCGUCUGAUUAGCUCAUUGGUUGAGGUAAUGGCUCACCAAGGCAACGAUCAAUAGCUGGUCUGAGAGGAUGAUCAGCCACAUUGGGACUGAGACAGGGCCCAGACGCCGACGGGAGGCAGCAGUAGGGAAGCUUCCGAAAUGGGCGAAAGCCGGACGGGGCAACGCCGCGUGAGGGAUGAAGGUCUUCGGAUCGUAAAACUCGGUUAGGAGGGAAGAACAGAUGUGUAAGUAACUGUGCACAUCUUGACGGUACCUAAUCAGAAAGACACGGCUAACUACGGG
rnacentral:rRNA from 1 species